CCCCACCUGCAACCCACAGCAUGGCGUAGCACCAGGGCCUUAACAACCCUAUUCCCAACUUUAAUUCGCUAGUAACCACAACAAUGACUCUGUCUCACGAGCGACGCCGUGGUCCACCCAAUGCUCCAGUAACGUGGGGGCAAAUAAAGUCCCUCUCCCAACAAGCUGAACACCUGCUAGAGCAACAAAAUAAGGAAAAAUCCCCAAAAAAUUUGUUGCUUGCCCUUAUUACUUGUUUGCAUGCUAAUUCUUGUAUUUUAUUAAGCAUAAUAAUAUUUGUUGUUUGUCUGCCCUUGGGAUCCGGGGUAGCACAUCCCCCCUAUUCCCCAGCUACCAAUGUAUGGGAGGUUCUGGCUCUUUCUAUUAAUUGUACUGAUUUUUGCCUUUCCCAGCAAACAGCAAUAAAACAAUUGCUUGGUACAUGUCUUAUUCCAGUUUGCCAUAAUGCCAAUAAAAUAAAAAAUAGCACCUGGUUUUACUCCAGCUUAAAAAGCAACACCACAAUUAAAAAUUUGGGCUUUUCAGCCUAUCAUAAUUGGGGACCCCAGUCCCAACGUCUUCCAAACGAGGCUGUUCAGUUGCUUACCCCUUAUGUUGCUAAUUUAAAUGCUAGCUGUGCACGUAUAACCAAUUGCACAGCGCACACCUGUGUCACUCUCCCUGCCACCCCCCUUAAUUGUUCCAAGCCAUAUAAUAUUUCCUACCUUUACAAGCACAUAAAAUUGCCCCCUGGAUGGUUCUGGACAUGCACUGACCGGACCUUUAAUUACAUCCCAGCUAAUCUUACUAAUAGCACCUUUUGCUGCAUCAGCCGUCUGUCCCUCAUUCUUAUUCCCCGGUCUAAGCAUACACCACAAGCAAAGCGUUCAUACACUCAGCUGUCAUCUGAUUGCGACUCCAAAGUCGAUCUCCUGUCCAAAACCGAAUAUGUGGCCCUGGCUGCUUCUUUGGUUGGUAUACCUGGCUUAACAAUUAUAAAUAGCAAAAAUCUUAACCGGUUAGCCUGUUCAGCAGCUAAAGCUCUUAAUGCCACGUCCAUUGCAGUGGCAUUGCUUAAUAAAAAACAAAUGCAGUUACGCCAUGGUAUUUUGCAAAAUAAAGCU
rnacentral:lncRNA from 1 species